rnacentral:rRNA from 1 species
UACAGAGGGUGCGAGCGUUAUUCGAAAUUAUUGGGCGUAAAGCGCGAGUAGGUGGUGAGGUAAGUUCUGUGUGAAAUCUUCGGGCUCAACCCGAAAACUGCAUGGAAAACUACCUUGCUAGAGUACAAGAGGGGAGAGCGGAAUUCCCAGUGUAGAGGUGAAAUUCGUAGAUAUUGGGAGGAACACCGGCGGCGAAGGCGGCAUCCUGGACCGGUAUUGACGCUGAGGAGCGAAAGCCAGGGGAGCAAACGGG